rfam:Schistosoma margrebowiei strain Zambia genome assembly, scaffold: SMRZ_scaffold0000432
ACACUGCUGAAGAGUCCCACAACAGGACGAAACGGCCGUCCAGUGC